AACGAAACGCUGGCGGCAGGCUUAACACAUGCAAGUCGAGCGCCCCGCAAGGGAGCGGCAGACGGGUGAGUAACGCGUGGGAAUCUACCCAUCUCUACGGAACAACUCCGGGAAACUGGAGCUAAUACCGUAUACGUCCUUUUGGAGAAAGAUUUAUCGGAGAUGGAUGAGCCCGCGUUGGAUUAGCUAGUUGGUGGGGUAAUGGCCUACCAAGGCGACGAUCCAUAGCUGGUCUGAGAGGAUGAUCAGCCACACUGGGACUGAGACACGGCCCAGACUCCUACGGGAGGCAGCAGUGGGGAAUAUUGGACAAUGGGCGCAAGCCUGAUCCAGCCAUGCCGCGUGAGUGAUGAAGGCCCUAGGGUUGUAAAGCUCUUUCAACGGUGAAGAUAAUGCGAAA
rnacentral:rRNA from 1 species